GGACGAGCCUCUGGAGAGAUCCAUUGAUUUGGACGCCGAAGGCGCAAGCGGCUAUGCCGUGAAACGCUCAGGCAAAAGGACAGAGGUGCUGAA
rnacentral:ncRNA from 2 species